rnacentral:rRNA from 1 species
UACGUAGGGUGCAAGCGUUGUCCGGAAUUAUUGGGCGUAAAGAGCUCGUAGGCGGUUUGUCGCGUCUGCUGUGAAAUCCCGAGGCUCAACCUCGAGCCUGCAGUGGGUACGGGCAGACUUGAGUGCGGUAGGGGAGAAUGGAAUUCCUGGUGUAGCGGUGGAAUGCGCAGAUAUCAGGAGGAACACCGAUGGCGAAGGCAGUUCUCUGGGCCGUAACUGACGCUGAGGAGCGAAAGCGUGGGGAGCGAACAGG